AACUUGAGCAUAUGCAUCUGCAUCAUAUCUUUCCAAAGCAUUUUCCCCUGCAAGUUCUGCUCCAGCUAUCCUGGUUGCCAUCUUUACUUGGUGAACCAACCCUUCCGGUGAGCAAUCAGCAUGAUCAGGCUGCUCUCUGUCUUUCAUUUCCAUGCAGGUAAAAUUGAGGACAACUCCAUGUCUUGCCAGCAUUUUGGCUAUCUGUAGAUAACCAUCAUUAUGUAGUGUAUUAUAGUAGCCGGCGGUUAGUUCGGCUGCGUGUGACCUUGCUCUGUAAUGCCAAUGGAUUCCAGCAACUUUCCCAGAUAGCUUCACCCCAGAUGUGUGGAAUAUCCCUUUGCUCCAAAAUCCAACUCCCAAACUAACUCAUAGUGUCUAUAGACAUUCAACAUAUACACAAGGGUAAUGGACUUAGCUUACAUGCCCAAUCUGUCCAAAUAGACAAGUUAUACUAGUUAACUUGUGGGCUUCAUCCAAAUUAUCAAUAUUAAUUCAAAAUUAAAUAUUCAUUAUUUUUUUUACCGAUAAUACCAUUAUGUACUUUCCCUGCCUUAAGGUAAUUUUUUUAUUUGAGCAUCAAAUUUUCAACAACUUUCUCCUACGACAUCAUAAAAUAUUCUUUUCUCCCACUUAAAUUUUAUCUUCCACUCACAACAACCCCGCAUCAAUUUUUUUUGAAGUUUGACAUUACUUUUGAUCCCAAAAUUUAUUGUACUAGAAUCUUUUUCAAAUGGGCCUCUUAGCAUAAAAAAAUAAAUGGGCCUCCUAAUAUAUGAAAUGAAGUGGUAAACAAUGGCACUGAUUUUGAGACAUUGGAGUGAAUGGAGAAGAAACUCACUCUAGUUCAGACCAUUGCCACUGCUACCGUUUUCUCUGCCGUUUCUUUCUGGUAUUGUAUAUAUAACAACAACAACAACAAAUAUUAUUAGUCUUCUUUUUCUUUUUUCUAUUCAAUUAGGGUUUCUUAUUUUUCAAUUUUUAUGAUUUAGGUAUGGAUUCAUGUUUGGAAGGGAAUCCUCUCGUAAAGAACUUUCUCAAUUGAUCGAAGAUCUACGUCGUGAUAACCCCACCCCUACCUCCAAUUCCCAUUCUUCAAGUUGAAACAUACCAUGAUUUUCUUCAUUCUCAAUAUAUUUAUAUGAAUCUGUUAUCUAAUUCCCGAGUCUGGAGUUGAAGUUUGAAUUUUUAAUGUAAGAUGACUUGUUAAUUACUGAGUACAAUCUUAUUCUACACUAGUCUAUAAUAUAUUUGUUCCGAACUCAAUUCCCCCUUUGUUUUGCUGACCAAUUUUGUAUAUUUUUUUAGAGUAACCAAGGAUAUCUCUCACCCUGUCGAUAAGGAACUAACCAUUUUGGAUGUGACUGUCCUCCCAACAAGUGUCACUCGGAAUUGAACCUUUUUGUAUCUAGUUAGUGUUAAUUAUUGUCCAGCUUGGGGCGGGGAAGUAAAUGUUUUAGCUUGCAUCUAAAACCUCUUGGCUUAGUGAUAAUAGUAAUAUGACAGUUAUAUUUGCCUUUUGUUUCAAGUGCCUUUUAUUGCUUCUGUUUCCUUUCAUGAAUAAUAUCUGAAGGAGGAAAGCUGUUUAAAAAUUAUAUAUUCCAAAUUUGCAAUUUAAACUUCUGAUUAAUUAUUUAGGCAAUAAAUUCUUUCAGAUCAUUAGUCAAUGCAAUUAUUAUGCCUGAUGUUUUUCACAUGAUACUACCUUUUUUUGUAGCAUUAUAUUGUUAUGAAUUAUUAUGCAGGGGUAGGGAUGUUUUGGUAUGCAAAUAUCUAUACACAUAUAAAUGCUAAUUUUUUUACACAAUUAAAGACAAGCUCAAAUUCAAUGACAUAACUCGAAUCUAAAAAAGUAAGUACUAAGUAGCUCAAAAUACCAAUGUAAGUCAAUUAAGUUCAAGGAAUUAAGCCUCUAUAAUGCUUAAAAGUAACUAUCAAGUACUAGCUACUAUACUUAGAUUACUACUUUACUAGUCAAUUCUAAGCAUUCAAGAUAAUAUAGUGAGUAAUGUUGAUGGCUCAUCCUCUCCGUUGUGGGAGUAAGGCUGAGUACAUCUAUCCUCCCCAUACCCCACAAGGUGGGAACCUUGCGCACCAAACCACCCCUUUUAAGGUUGGUGGCUCAAAUGGUGGUGGAUGAGAUGAUGCCAUGGCUGAUGGCUGACAAAGUUGCUAGGGUUGAAGAAGAGGAAGAAGUUACAGGUUGAAGUGGAAGAAGUUGCAGAACUAGCAAAAAAGAAGCGGAAGAUGAGCAAGUUGUUGGAAAGAGAAGGGUUUAAGGGUUGAGAGCUGCUCACCCAAGGUCCAGUUGUUCAAAUGGGUUGAGAGCUGCUCAUCCAGGUCCUUAUGCUUGAAUCAGGUUUAGGGGUUUGGCUAAAUGACCAAAAGCUCCAGAAAAGGGAUACAGUUUUAAAAAUGAGGGCAAAAUGGUUAACCCGUCGUCCAUUUCCCAGUGAGAUCCCAAUGAAAAACUGGGAUGGGAUAUUGGGAUUUGGAGCUGGGAUAGUCGAGAUUCAGAUAUGAGAUUGAAUAGCAAACCCCAUCUCACUGUCGUGCCAAGCUGGAAUGGGAUCCAAGUAUCACACAGGAUCCCAGGACCGCACAGGAUCCAACCAACAGAGAUUGACUACUUAACCACAAGAAUAAUCUUAAAAUAUGGACAGGUUUUUCUGGGAACAAUUUGACAUGUAUUUAUUUAUGUCGAAUUUGAUGGUAGAGUAACAAAUGACAGUAGUGUGUUUGUGUAAUGAAUUUCUAGGUAUUCACUAAUCAACAUAGAAGUAGUGCAUACUGGAUAGUAUGUAUUGGGUUUUUGACAUCAGCAGAUAAAGAUUUUCUCCUUUGAUAGUAGGAGUUGUAUACAUUAACAUAAAAUAUUAUGUUGUUCAUUGUCUCAGGUUAUGGCAUGGCAUAUGCCACUGUUCUUGUCUAUACACAUCAAUUUCCCCCCUUUUCUAAAUAAAAGAAGUCUUGUGAUGCUCUUGACUUCAUACCAUAACCGCCAAAACAUGCUUGCAUAUAUGUUUACACAAGAAUGAUGUCUUGCUCUUGCUCUGUCUUCUGAAUUUCCUUGAUAUGCCCAACAUAAAGAUCGCUCCCCUGGGAAUCAGAGUCUGACAGUCUCUGUCUCCGACCACCUUCAGACAUGCUUCUUACAAACUCCACUAGUUGCCGCCAAUUAUCACCAUCAAACAACUUCUUAUUCAGUCUUAGAAACGUGAAGGCAGCCAAUCCAUUGCCAGAGUCUGACUGACUUGUCAACAAAACUUGAGCAUAUGCAUCUGCAUCAUAUCUUUCCAAAGCAUUUUCCCCUGCAAGUUCUGCUCCAGCUAUCCUGGUUGCCAUCUUUACUUGGUGAACCAACCCUUCCGGUGAGCAAUCAGCAUGAUCAGGCUGCUCUCUGUCUUUCAUUUCCAUGCAGGUAAAAUUGAGGACAACUCCAUGUCUUGCCAGCAUUUUGGCUAUCUGUAGAUAACCAUCAUUAUGUAGUGUAUUAUAGUAGCCGGCGGUUAGUUCGGCUGCGUGUGACCUUGCUCUGUAAUGCCAAUGGAUUCCAGCAACUUUCCCAGAUAGCUUCACCCCA
rnacentral:lncRNA from 1 species